rnacentral:rRNA from 1 species
GACGAACGCUGGCGGCGUGCCUAAUACAUGCCAGUAGAACGCUGAAGGAGGAGCUUGCUCUUCUGGAUGAGUUGCGAACGGGUGAGUAACGCGUAGGUAACCUGCCUGGUAGCGGGGGAUAACUAUUGGAAACGAUAGCUAAUACCGCAUAACAGUAGAUGUUGCAUGACAUUUACUUAAAAGGUGCAAUUGCAUCACUACCAGAUGGACCUGCGUUGUAUUAGCUAGUUGGUGGGGUAACGGCUCACCAAGGCGACGAUACAUAGCCGACCUGAGAGGGUGAUCGGCCACACUGGGACUGAGACACGGCCCAGACUCCUACGGGAGGCAGCAGUAGGGAAUCUUCGGCAAUGGACGGAAGUCUGACCGAGCAACGCCGCGUGAGUGAAGAAGGGUUUCGGAUCGUAAAGCUCUGUUGUAAGAGAAGAACGAGUGUGAGAGUGGAAAGUUCACACUGUGACGGUAUCUUACCAGAAAGGGACGGCUAACUACGUG